rnacentral:misc_RNA from 1 species
UACGAGGAGCUCGAGCAUUACUCUUAUAUAAGGUGUAAAGGGCUAGUAGGUGGCCUACUCAUGUCCUAUCUAAAAGUGCGGCGGUUAACGUCGUAGCGGGUAGGAAACUGGUAUUGGCUAGAGUACGAAUAGGGGAAAACGGAAUGUCAGGGGGAGCGAUAGAAUGUGUUGAUCCUUGAUGGAACUCCAAAGGCGAAGGCAGUUUUCUGGGUACGUACUGACACUGAGUAGCGAAAGCUUGGGGAGCAAACAGG